rnacentral:rRNA from 19 species
GGUAGGACUACCCGCUGAACUUAAGCAUAUCA